UUAAGUUCAGCGGGUAUUCCUACCUGAUCCGAGGUCAACCUUAGAAAGUUGGGGUUGCUGGUCGCCAACCGUCGGUGCCCAUAGCGAGAGAUGUACUACGCUCGGGACCCAACGGCGCCGCCACUGAAUUUGGGGCAGGCCAUCGCUGGCGCUGCCCAAUACCAAGCAGGGCUUGAGUGGUGAUAAUGACGCUCGAACAG
rnacentral:misc_RNA from 1 species